GCCUAGUUAGCUUAGUUGGUAGUGCGUCUGCCUUGUAAGCGCUAGGCCGCGGGUUCGAUUCCCGCUCGGGG
rfam:Asian citrus Psyllid, Diaphorina citri - Florida Strain, whole genome shotgun sequence.